rnacentral:rRNA from 1 species
UACGGGGGGAGCAAGCGUUGUUCGGAUUUACUGGACGUAAAGGGCGCGUAGGCGGCCACCGCAAGUCGACUGUGAAAUCUCCGGGCUUAACCCGGAAAGGUCAGCCGAUACUGCGGGGCUAGAGUGCAGAAGGGGCAACUGGAAUUCUCGGUGUAGCGGUGAAAUGCGUAGAUAUCGAGAGGAACACCUGCGGCGAAGGCGGGUUGCUGGGCUGACACUGACGCUGAGGCACGAAAGUGUGGGGAUCAAACAGG